GGGAAGGAGGGAAAGGAUGAGGUGAACGAAAAGGAGGAAAUAAAGGAGGUGAAAGAGAGGGUGGAGCUAGAAGAAAAGGAGGAGAUGAAAGAGAAGAAGGAGGUAGAGAAAAAGGAGGAGGAGGUGAAGGAAAAGGAUGAGGAAGAGGAAAAGAGAAGAUAAUUGAGAAGGAGGAUGCAACAGAAAAGGGGGAGAAAGAAAAGGAUGAGAUGAAAAAAAAGAAGAAAAGGAGAUGGUGACUGA
rnacentral:lncRNA from 1 species